AAAAUGACAAUGACAGGGAAUAGUAGGCGUUAUUGUUUAAAGCCUGGUUCAGAGAGCCGCUGUUUGGUGCAAAGCGGUCGAAGGCAGAUGUUGAACUCUCCCUGGAGUAGCCGACCGAAAUCCAAUGGAAAGUAGGCCCGGACGGAUGCUUCCACCGUUAAAAGGAAGGGGAUAUCGGAUCAUUUAUGAAGCAUCCCGUAUCCGCAAAGGGAACGGCCACAAGGCCGUUAAGUUGAGUGGUACCGCGGAAGACAGGCCUUUCGUCUCAGAA
rnacentral:ncRNA from 1 species